GCCAGAGAGCGAGCGCGCGGGCGCCCCCAGGGAGGAGGGUGCAGAGGAGAGGCGGCCAAGGCACUCAGGUUGGUCAGGUCUUCCAGGGCUUUGUCUCCCUUCAGCCAAUUACCGGUUUCUUUUUCCACACCGGACCUACCUGGGGACCCCCCUGGGUGAGCACACCCGCCUCAGCCAAGAUGGAUCUCGGAGUGAAGGCUUCUGGGAAGAGCAAGACCCAUUACGGCCUGGCACUAGCCCUUGACUUUUGACCCACAAGGAGCCUUUCUGCACGGCUUUCCCUUCUUUGCCGUUGCCGUGACCACUGCUGUGACCCCUUGAGCCUUCACUCACACGGGGUUUCGCCCUUCUUUGCCGUCGCCGUGACCACUGCCGUGACCGCCACCGUAACGUGCUCACAGAAGACACACGCUGGCGUUUGCCCUGUUGCUGUUGUGACUUCCGCCUCGGAGGGCGAGCAGGAGGCUGACUGUAAAUGCUUCAGCUGGAGCCCACCUAUCUCUUGUCUCAGAAAACGCUGGUAGCUCUAAGUAUCCAGCCUGAAGCCCACUUGGUGCCCCGACAAAUGCAAACGGGAAUCCAAUCUGGAGCCCAUCUACUCCCUAAGUCAAGCCUAGUGAUGGUGCCUGGGGUGAUGGAAUAGGGCGGAGGGCAAGGGGGACAGGCAGGAGCCACUGUUACCUUCAACCUGACCCGAGACGUGUGUCCGGCCCCCAACCCUGGAGGCAGGUUCCAGGUCUCAAAGACCAGUGGCCAGCACCCCGUGCCGACCUCAGGCCAGACACCGCAGACACGGCCCCAGCUCCCAGGACAGCCUCUCCACUGCACACCUCCACCUUCUUCACGCCUCAUGACGGCUCUUCUUAUACUUGGGGAAUCUCGAAAAAGUUGUUCAAACCUUCUACCAACGGAAUCAACGUAUUCCCAGUCACCCCCAGACAACAGAGUGAACAGUUCACCAGAUGGUGGAUGAACUGGGACGUUCACAUUGGUAAACGCACGGUCAAAUGGGUAGGGAUGAGGGCAGGAUGGAAUUUUGUAUCCAAAAAAGGAUGUUUCAUCCCUGUUCGGAGAAGGCAAUGGCACCCCACUCCAGUACUCUUGCCUGGAAAAUCCCAUUGAUGGAGGAGCCUCGUGGGCUGCAGUCCGUGGGGUCGCAAAGAGUCGGACACCACUGAGCGACUUCACUUUGACUUUUCACUUUCAUGCAUUGGAGAAGGAAAUGGCAACACACUCCAGUGCUCUUGCCUGGAGAAUCCCAGGGAUGGUGGAGCCUGGUGGGCUGCCAUUUAUGGGGUCGCACAGAGUCGGAAAUGACUGAAGUGACUUAGCAGCAGCAGCAGCAGCAAGAUCCCUGUUAUGAAAAGUCAUUUAUUUUCUUUUAAAAGUGUUUUAAAAUUAAUUUAAAAUAUGUUUAAAAUCAAAGAAGCAACAUCCUGGUUGAACAUCAUAUUUAAAAAACGCGAUAUGAUUCAAACACUGUAAAUAUAGAGAAAGAAGAUCAAAGAACACAGGCAAAAACAAUGCUGGAAAACAGGGUGGGUGGAGGAUUUUUGCUUCCCAAGCUGGGCUGAGAAGGAAAGUUAGGACUCAGUCCUGGUGCUGCGUAUAGUAAAGCCAUGUCAGGUGUCAGCCUGUGAAGACCGAGGCCAAGGUUUCAAACGUUCGAGAAGAAGCAUAACAUACUCACAAAACAAGAUAACAGAAAGGACAGCGUCUCAAAAGACUUCUUGACUUCUAAAGUAAUUUAUCCGUCUACUUACAAGGGCUGGAUGACAAGUUCCUGAAAUAUGUGCGUCUUCAAAGCCUAAUUGGAAUUUCUCUCUGUUGAUCUGAUGUCAGAACAGCAAAUCAUUAUGUCUUGAAAAAGAAAAGUGAAUAUUAAUUGAAAAGUUCAUUGGAAUUUGAAAGACUGUUCACUAGUUUUAGUCAAUCAAUCACUAACAAUAUAAUGAUGGAGUUGUGUACCGAAAGCUCGGUAAUCACAAAGCUUUCCUUGGAGGUGGCUUGAAUGCGUUUUUCCGACCGUGUCGAGUGUGACAUGAAAGACAGAAAAUGAGAGAAUUUUAAAUCUGGCCCAGGUCAAGGGGAAGGUAGAGCAACCUCGUCACAUGGCGAUGAAGGGAAGUUGAGUAGCCAGGCGUGGAAACCGUCUCCCACAGGACUCAGCCUCAGAUAAGGGAAAAUGAGGCAGCGGCAUAUGGCCACAGAACUCACCGUCUCCUCGCAACAUCCAUCACCCUGAAGCACUGGGCCAACAUAAACUCUGGACUUCAUUAAUCGCUUCAUUAAUUGUGCCCUGCCCUAAUGCAGGCAGAUAGGGCUUCUUUGAUGAUGCAGUGGAUAAGAAUCCACCUGCCAAUGCAGGGGACGUGGCUUUGAUCCACAGUCUGGGAAGAUGCCACACGCCUUGGAAGGACCACAGCCUUGUGUGACAAGCGCUGCGGCAGCCCUGCUCUGGAGCCCGCCUGCCGCGACUCCCGAGCCCGUGUGCCGUAGCCACUGAGGUCUUUGCCCCGGAGCCUAUGCUCCGCAGCCCUGCUCUGGAGCCCGCCUGCCGCGACUCCCGAGCCCGUGUGCCGUAGCCACUGAGGUCUUUGCCCCGGAGCCUGUGCUCCGCGGCAAGGGAAGGCCCUGCAGUGAGGAGCGGCCCCAUCCACCGCAAUGAGAGAGGAGCCCACACAGAGCAACAGGGAUCCAGCACAGCCCCAAAUGACCAAAUUAAAAAGGAACUCACAGCCUCGUGGGAAUGUCAAAGGGCCCAGGAGUCGCCUGAGAGGGCUCCCGGGACCAAGGCUGAAACAGUCCGAGCAAGAAGAUGGGUGGUGCGUGAUCGGAUGCUGAGCACCCACAAGCGCAUACCGACGUAAGUGCAUCGUUGAAUGAACAAACAAGUGGGGGAGAAUAAACUAAUCUCCACGCAGAAGAAACUUAAAGAAUCUGCGUGAAUAUUUCAUGCUGAGGGGAGGGGACCACAGCGCCCUCCUCCCUGCGGCCGGGCUACACGGUGACGGCCUCCCAAAGAGCAAGAAAGAGAGAAGCAACCAACGCCGCCGAGGGCGGCCGACCGAAGUCCACAGCAGCAGGGGGACGCCCCGAUGAACUGCAGCCUUCACAGGCUGCAGUUAGGACUGUGCCUGGCCUCUGUGGACUCAGCGCAUUUAUGUUUAAGCCAUUUGUGACCAAUUUUGGUUUCAACAUACCUUCUUAAAACGUUUCCUCAUUCCUCCUGUUCUGUGUUCACUUUUCUUUCUUAUUUUUAACGGAUGAUUUUAUUUUUUUUUCUGUUCUAUAUUCUACUGUGCUGCUGCUAAGUCACUUCAGUCGUGUCCGACUCUGUGUGACCCCAUAGACGGCAGCCCACCAGGCUCCCCCGUCCCUGGGAUUCUCCAGGCAAGAACACUGGAGUGGGUUGCCAUUUCCUUCUCCA
ensembl:lncRNA